rnacentral:tRNA from 1 species
AUCUAAUUAGUAUAACUAAGUACUACAAGUUUCCAACUUGAAGGUUCAUUUGAAUUAGAUA